UACGGAGGGUGCAAGCGUUAUCCGGAUUCACUGGGUUUAAAGGGUGCGUAGGUGGGCAGGUAAGUCAGUGGUGAAAUCUCCGGUCUUAACCCGGAAACUGCCGUUGAUACUAUCUGUCUUGAAUAUAGUGGAGGUGAGCGGAAUAUGUCAUGUAGCGGUGAAAUGCUUAGAUAUGACAUAGAACACCCAUUGCGAAGGCAGCUCGCUACACUAUCAUUGACACUGAGGCACGAAAGCGUGGGGAUCAAACAGG
rnacentral:rRNA from 1 species